GACGAACGCUGGCGGCGUGCUUAACACAUGCAAGUCACGGGGGCUCGCAAGAGCAACCGGCGAACGGGUGCGUAACACGUGAGCAAUCUGCCGAUUUGUGGGGGAUAGCCGGCCCAACGGCCGGGUAAUACCGCAUACGUUCUUUGGGGGGAGUCCCCUGAAGAGGAAACCUCCGGGGCAAAUCGAGGAGCUCGCGGCCUAUCAGCUAGUUGGCGGGGUAAUGGCCCACCAAGGCUCUGACGGGUAGCUGGUCUGAGAGGAUGGCCAGCCACAUUGGGACUGAGAGACGGCCCAGACUCCUACGGGAGGCAGCAGUGGGGAAUCUUGCGCAAUGGCCGAAAGGCUGACGCAGCGACGCCGCGUGUGGGAGGACGCCCUUCGGGGUGUAAACCACUGUUGCCCGGGACGAACAAGCUCUUUCGAGAGCUCUGACGGUACCGGGUGAGGAAGCACCGGCUAACUCCGUGCCAGCAGCCGCGGUAAUACGGAGGGUGCGAGCGUUGUCCGGAAUCACUGGGCGUAAAGGGCGCGUAGGCGGCCGGAGCAGUCUGUGGUGAAAGCUCGGGGCUCAACCCUGAGUCGGCCACGGAUACUCUUCGGCUGGAGCACUGUAGAGGCAGAUGGAAUUCCGGGUGUAGCGGUGGAAUGCGUAGAGAUCCGGAAGAACACCGGUGGCGAAGGCGGUCUGCUGGGCAGUUGCUGACGCUGAGGCGCGACAGCGUGGGGAGCAAACAGGAUUAGAUACCCUGGUAGUCCACGCCGUAAACGAUGGGCACUAGGUGCUUGGGGGAGCGACCCUCUGAGUGCCGGCGCUAACGCAUUAAGUGCCCCGCCUGGGGAGUACGGCCGCAAGGCUGA
rnacentral:rRNA from 1 species